UACGGAGAGAGCUAGCGUUGUUCGGAAUUACUGGGCGUAAAGCGCACGUAGGCGGCUUUGUAAGUUAGAGGUGAAAGCCCGGGGCUCAACUCCGGAACUGCCUUUAAGACUGCAUCGCUUGAAUCCGGGAGAGGUGAGUGGAAUUCCGAGUGUAGAGGUGAAAUUCGUAGAUAUUCGGAAGAACACCAGUGGCGAAGGCGGCUCACUGGACCGGUAUUGACGCUGAGGUGCGAAAGCGUGGGGAGCAAACAGG
rnacentral:rRNA from 1 species